AGAGUGAACGCUGGCGGUAGGCCUAACACAUGCAAGUCGAACGGCAGCACGGUAAGAGCUUGCUCUUAUGGGUGGCGAGUGGCGGACGGGUGAGGAAUACAUCGGAAUCUACCUUUUGGUGGGGGAUAACGUAGGGAAACUUACGCUAAUACCGCAUACGCCCUUCGGGGGAAAGCCGGGGACCAGCAAUGGCCUGGUGCUGAUAGAUGAGCCGAUGGUCGGAUUAGCUA
rnacentral:rRNA from 1 species